rnacentral:rRNA from 1 species
UACGGAGGGGGCGAGCGUUAUUCGGAAUUAUUGGGCGUAAAGGGCUCGUAGGCGGCCAACUAAGUCAUACGUGAAAUCCCUCGGCUUAACCGGGGAACUGCGUCUGAUACUGGAUGGCUUGAGUUCGGGAGAGGGAUGCGGAAUUCCAGGUGUAGCGGUGAAAUGCGUAGAUAUCUGGAGGAACACCGGUGGCGAAGGCGGCAUCCUGGACCGACACUGACGCUGAGACACGAAAGCGUGGGGAGCAAACAGG